GGCAGGCCAGGCCGUUGCAGCCGUCGAUGUUCAUGGCGCAGGAGCCGCAGAUCCCUUCCCGGCAAGAUCGCCGGAAGGUGAGGGUGGGGUCCAUCUCGUUCUUGAUCUUGAUGAGGGCGUCGAGUACCAUGGGCCCGCACUCCUUGAGGUCGAUCUCGUACUCCUUGAGCUCCGGCUUCUUCGGGUUGUCCGGGUUCCACCGGUAGAUUGAGAAGGUCUUGAUGUCCGUUUUGUCUCGGGCCUUGAGGUCCACCUGCUGGGCCUGGGCCUCCGACGCCAUAGCCCGGACGCACAAGUAACGAAACGACGCCGCCGCCGUCGAUCCCGACGACGCCGCAGAAGCAAUGGCCCUCCGUAUCAACCCCGUCGCCAUUGUUGCGUUUCCGAGCUCCAACAACUGCGAACAGAGAGAGAGAUUGG
rnacentral:lncRNA from 1 species